rnacentral:rRNA from 1 species
UGAAAUCUGUCCCCCUUGGGGGUCCGAGUUGUAAUUUGUAGAGGGUGCUUUGGCGUUGGCCCUGGCCUAAGUUCCUUGGAACAGGACGUCACAGAGGGUGAGAACCCCGUACGUGGCCGCCGGUCUUCGCCGUGUAAAGCCCCUUCGACGAGUCGAGUUGUUUGGGAAUGCAGCUCUAAAUGGGAGGUAAAUUUCUUCUAAAGCUAAAUAUUGGCCAGAGACCGAUAGCGCACAAGUAGAGUGAUCGAAAGAUGAAAAGCACUUUGGAAAGAGAGUCAAAAAGCACGUGAAAUUGUUGAAAGGGAAGCGCUUGCAGCCAGACUUGCCUGUAGUUGCUCAUCCGGGCUUUUUGCCCGGUGCACUCUUCUGCGGGCAGGCCAGCAUCAGUCCAGGCGGUCGGAUAAAGGCCUUGGGAAUGUGGCUCCCUUCGGGGAGUGUUAUAGCCCAGGGUGUAAUGCGGCCAGCUUGGACUGAGGUCCGCGCAUCUGCUAGGAUGCUGGCGUAAUGGCUGUAAGCGGCCCGUCUUGAAACACGGACCAAGGAGUCUAACAUCUAUGCGAGUGUUUGGGUGUCAAGCCCGAGCGCGCAAUGAAAGUGAACGGAGGUGGGAACCCCUCGGGGCGCACCAUCGACCGAUCCUGAUGUCUUCGGAUGGAUUUGAGUAAGAGCAUAGCUGUUGGGACCCGAAAGAUGGUGAACUAUGCCUGAAUAGGGUGAAGCCAGAGGAAACUC